GUGCAUCACGCACACGACACACCAAAUACUGGUGGUAGGUGGGCAUUUGAUAUCAUCUCUGCCAGUCAGGAUUGGGGAAAUUAAAGCUGCGGGUAGUCACCUCGUCGGCUACCAAAAUGGCAGCGCUCAACAGCAGUAGCAUCUUCAUCGCGAAAUCAGAUUUUCCGGCGGCCUUCCCAUCGUCAUCAUGGGGAAUGAGUAGAGGCAGCAUUGACUUCGAGUCGAGAGGAUUGCGUGCAGGGAAUAUGAAGAUGGACGCUGGGCGAUCAAAGUUGCGGCUUGUAUGUGCGGUUGGUGGCAGCAAUACGACUGGUAACAGCAAUAGUAGCAGCAGCAGCAGCGAUGGCAGUAAGAAGAAAGCCGUUCCAAAUUCAAAUUAUGUGGUGCCCUUGGAUAAAUCCUUCUCUUCCCCAUACUCAUCCUUCAUCACUCGCCCCCUCGUCGAGAUCCUUCGUGAUCUCAACAAGAGGAUUCCCGACGAUAUCAUCAAACCAUCUUCCCCCGCCACCACCUUCAUCCCCUGGUACCAUGCUAACCGUAUGCUUAGCUUCUAUGCCCCUGGUUUGUUCUUUCCUCCUCCUUUUAUUAAUUUUUUUUCCCCAAAAUUUUCGACUGUUAUGAUGCUUGCUAGGUUUUUAUUUUUAGAACUUGUUUUUAUGCCUUAUUCUGCUAAAUCAAAUGAUAUUGCAUCCAAAUUAUUGUGCCAUCUACUGUGAGUUUCAGACCUAGUUUCAAGCAGACAAGGAUAGUCAGGAUCUGUUAGGUUGAAAGUUACGCUACUACUAUUAGCCAGUAUAUAAUGGGUUUGCAAUUAUGUUGGACUCUGCAGAAAUCCGUUAAUCCGUUUUAUCUUGUGGAUCAAUUAGAUAUACACAAAUUUCCUCUCUCCUUCAAACAAAUAAGCUGUUAACAUCCAUUUUGGCAGGAUGGUGUGGAGAGAUACGCGAUCUUAUAUUCUCUGAGAAUGGAAGCGUGACUGUGGUAUACCGUGUCACAAUACGAGGAUCAGAUGGAGAGGUGUGGCUCGUGUUUUCCAAUAUUUCUAUUGAUUAUUCAUCUUGUUGUCGCUUUGCUAAAUUUCGAAUGCAUUGGAUGGUACUAGAAUAAUUUUUUCCAAAACUUACUUUAUUAGUUUAAUUUCUUGAAAACCUUAAACUUGUGCUGCUAUUUGCGUGCCAUGGUUCAUGCUCUUUGAAUCCACAGCAUGCUUAGAUAUUUCCAUAGUGAAAGGUUACCAUUAUUUGGCUUUAAUUGAGUAAGUGGACAUCUGGACCAAACCCAUAAAAUUUCUUUACUUUGGUUCUUUUUUCUUCCUUAAAAAAAUCUUAGUUAUGGGUUUGAUACUUUGAUAACUUGAAAUAUUGCAACUGAACAAAGUCAAAAUGAUCAAAGUUUUUAUUGAAUAAAAUUUAAAAUAAAUUUCUGGAGUGCAUGAAUACCUUUAUAUGAGCUGUAUUACGUAUAUAAUUUAAAAAAGAAAAACUUUGACUUGUUGAUUAUAUGGCUUAUUUUGCCUUAAAUAGAUUAGUAUGCUUAUAUAAAUGUUUGUUAUCAUGAAAAGUUUAGAUUACCAUUUUUAAGAUGGAUAUAUACAUGUAUUUGAAUUAAUAUGAGCAUGCGCCUUUUUAAGGCUUUACUUGAUCUGCAUUUUUGGAUUGGCUAUCUUUGUUUUUCUUCCCAUAUUCUCAUUAUAGGACCUAAGGACCAUUUGAAAAGGUCUAAUUUGAAAAAUGCUUAUUUAAAAGCCAGCAACAAAAGAAGUAACUGCACCCAUAUCGAGGUUUGGUUGAUUUGGUUAGUUUUUAAAAGGCUGCAGUGAUUUCAGUUACUUCUAAAUUUUGGCUCAGUUUAACCAACCAGCCGAAUGUACACCUCUGGACCAUGAUUGAUUCUUAUAAUCCUAAGUUUGCUAUAAACAAUAUGUAAUUGAGUACUUUCAUGUGUCAUUCUGACUUAAUUGGGAAGAAACUUAAUGAUGCAUCUAUUGCAUGGCUAGAAAGGAGAUGGCUGAUUUGAAAACCUAGUUUAAAGUCAUUUUACCUAUACCAAAAAGAGGGUAUUUUGCAAAGAAAAAAUGUAGCCUGUUCACAUGGACCUGAAGAUUAUUAAUGGCUUGGGAGACGAUAUUCGAAUUCUCCCUCCUCCAAGAGUUUUUUCUUCCAUGUCUUACACCUGUGACUUUGACUUGAUGAUGUCUUCUCCUUCAUGUCCCUCUUAAAUUGCUUUUUCAAGAGUUCCACACCUGAGUUUGUAAUAUCCUGCAUUUUCACUACAUGCUUAUCCAAUAUCUACUAUUGCCUUCGACCAUUUAGAAAUAAUAUCCUUCUUUCAAAAGUUCGUUUGAACACAGCUUUUUAGAAGUAAGGUUGUUGUCUAUGCUAUCUUACCAGUAAAUUCUCAAAAUUUGAUGGUAAUGAGCAGAACAUUAAGGUUUCUAAUGAUAUGUUACAUUUCACCACUUUAGACUUAGUUAAAGAACACAUAUUUGAGACAUGUCUCUUUGAUACCCUUGUUUUAAGAAAUUUAUAUCAUAGUAAUCCUUGCAGAGAUUUAGUUUGUCGACUGGCUUAGUUUGAUAACUUAUCCAGCUGGCACUUGAUUUGUCUCCAUGAUUAGACCUUCACAACCAGAGAUAAAGAACUCACGCAAGAAAGAAAAGCCAUAAAAAUAACUGUCAUGGAUCUUAGAUCUGUUUUUCCUGCUCUGAUAC
rnacentral:misc_RNA from 1 species